AUCUCCAAAGUCCAAACAAUUAUUUCUAAAUUGCAGCUGCCAAACACGCCACAAAUGGAUAAGGUCAAUUGUGUCUUUCAUCUAUUCAUCUCCUUCCAAUCCCGUCCCGUCCGUUUUCAUCACUAAGAUUACUUACAACGGAGCAAGUAGUGAAGAAAACAGACUAGAGAGAGAAAGAAAGAAAGCACAUAAAAGAAACAUGGUUGCCCCGGCCAAGUUUCUUCGAAUUUUUGUUGUUAAUGGGUGAUGCGAUGCAAUCAGCAGUCAUGUUGUCGUUAAGCUAGUGGAGACGGGUAAAUGAGGAAGUUUCGAUGGUUGAUUCCAUUGAGGGAGAGAUUUUUAUAUGGGAAUUUUGUAUCCCUUCCGAGGGCAGGUACUUUUCAAUUCCAUUCAAGCUAUAUAUAUUUUGAGAGACUCAGACUUUCCUUGUCUUGUGAUGAGGAUUAGAUGGACUGGGACCAAAUUCUUAUGCUAAUUGAUUUCAAUUAGUUGACCCAGGUCUUUUUGGUGGUUCGUGGAUACAACAUUAAUUAAACCAGCAGUUGGUCGUGGGCUUUGUAUGUUAGUUGCCUAUGGAUGGAACCUUAGUACCUAUGUAUAUCAGUACAUGGGUACUUCCUUGCCAUUCAUUAAUCUACUGUGGAACGGAGACUCUAAGGUAGUGUUUAUACUUGCAUUGUCAGGUCUAUACCAGAGUCUGUCAAGGUUCACCUCGUGACCUUGCAAUGAGGUGCCUUUCCCAGCCGGCAACCAUAGUUCCAACCUCAUUAUCUUCCUCCUCCAGUACUUUGCCCUUUAUUGCAGCAAUUGAAAAGGAAUAAGUUGUGUUUUUUUAGAAUCUUAACUAACUGCUGGAGCUUCCUCUCAUUGACAAAUAGGUUCUGUCUUAUUUAUUUUUGGAUCUUUACUAGUUUCUUCUUCUUUUCUAAUGUAGUAACUUUUGUCAGAACUGAUGCCAAAUAAAAAAAACUCAUUAGGUUGGUACAUGGUGUUGGAUCUUGAUAUCAUGGUUGAUAGAUCGUAUGUAAAUUUUUGGACGCUUUGUCUGCAUGAAGUUAUUCUCUUGUUUUUUAGACUCUGCUCUUAGUGACAUUAUAUUGUUUGGAUUUGUUGUUUUGGUUAGGGGGUGGGUGAUGAGUGGUUGCCCACGCUUUGAGAAAUGUUGAAUCCUGGUUUUCUUAAAGGAUCCCAAAGAAGAAGUCAUUCAAGCAUGGUACAUGGAUGAUAGUGACGAAGACGAGGCUGCCUCAUCACAGGGAGCCCAAUGAAUUUGUCUUUGGACCAACUUUAUGGUAGGAAUUGCUUAAAAGUCAAAAUUGAAUGGGAUUAUCAAAUUGUUAAGAGUCUGUAACUUGCAUAUCAUUUGCAAUUAUGUCUUGCCUUCGGAGUACUUAGUUGGCGGCUUGAUGCUGACAACUAUGAAACAGAUGAAGAGUUGAAGAAGAUACGUGAAGCGCGUGGAUAUUCCUGCGUGGUUUGUCAUCUUAACUCAGCAUGUUUAUACAAAUGUGCUGCUAUAGUUCUGACCAGCUUAUCAUGUUAUUCCUUCUAUUCGAAGGCCCAGGGUAUCAAUUACCUUAGAAACAAUUGGAAAACAGUUCUUGACCUUUUUUUUUUUUUUGCUGAGAAGUGGGAAACAUUUUUGGUAACUUUGCACUGUUGAGUAAAUCGAUUUUUUUGUUGAUGCAAGACAUGAAUCUGAUUUAAAAGAAGAUUAUUUUAAAACAGUUCAUCUGCUUUUAGACUGGGGUCUCUUAAAUCCUGUAGAAUGUUGUUUGAGUAAAGAAUAAGAAGGAUUGUGUAUCAAAAUUCAUAUCAUUGUAAACAUGACAAUUAGAAAUAUUGCACACAAGGAACCAUUUUUACUAAAUAAUUUUUCUUCAGGACUUCGGUGAAGUUUUCCCAGAGAAGCUGCCUAAUUAUGAAGAGAAGAUCAAAGACUUUUUUGAAGAACAUUUUCACACUGAUGAGGAGAUUCGCUACUGUGGCUGGAAGUGGUUAUUUUCAUGUUAGGGAUCAUAAUGACGGCUGGAUUCGGCAUUUGGGUGAAGAAAGGUGGAAUGAUUGUCUUACCUGAUGGAAUUCAUCACCGCUUCACAUUACCAAGAUGACUAUAUCAAGUGAUAUAUAACAAAACAUUCAAGAGAGCUUGUUUGUGGAAGAAUGGGAAAAACUCCUCUGUUUCAUAAUCCCAUUUCUUCGGGAACUAGGCUUCAGUCGUAAAACUGCUAUCCUCGCCCAAUGGUCACGGCCAAUGCUCAUGUAGUUUCGCAGUUGCUUCAUGUUCGCGGAUGAUUUGCAAGGGAAUGAUUCUUCGGGUUUUGGUAGCCCCGUCUCUAAAAAAAAGACAUGGCAUUAUCAAAUAAAAUAUUAAGAUUUUGAAAUAAAAUAUUUUAAUUUGAUAAAAA